UUUCUGUGAUUGUGUUCGGAAGCUGUGGAAAGCGACGUUGGGCCAUAGAGAGUCGCAUUUUAUAAUUUAGAAUUUAUUCGGGAAAUCAUUGCUAAGUUUUAGCGGAGUUGGUAUUUUCGGGGUGUGGUAAAUGACCAAUUUGCCCUUGGGAGUUGGUGACUAGCUUUAUUAGUUAGAAGGGUAAUUAGGUCUUUUCUUUUUAAAACCCUUGUUUUGGCUUUUAGUGUUUAAUGGCUGCCUUUUUAUUUUGUUGACUUUGAUUUUAAAAUUAAUUAAUUAAGAAAAGAAAGAAAUCAAGGAAGAUAAGUUAGAAGAAGCUUAGUAGUGAAGUUUCUAUCUUCAUCUCACUUUCCCUCUCUCUUUCGAUCCAUCAACCAGCAAGGAAGGAGAUUAUUUCUUGCUGAAAUCUUUGAAUUCUAAUUGAGUUUGAAGUUCCAAUUCAAGGGCCCUGUAAAACGUCGAGCUGCACUUCCACUCAGGCUGACCGGCACACUUGAGCAAAGAACGAGGUAAAGGAAAAGCAAAGCUGGAGGAACAGUGAGGUGGAACUCGGCAUGAUUGUACAUAUCGCGGCAGUGCAACCCGGAGGGUUUCGAUCUUAUAUUAUUUUGAGUCUGUAUUUUGGAAAUGCAUGUCCGCUAAACUUUUUAAAAAAAAAAAAAUGUAUGUGUACAUAUUAGUAAAAUAUUUUAAACUAGUAUUUUGAUACUCGGGAUCCCGAUCCGCAUGUUUAUUAAUAUAUAAAUUAUUAAAAUAAAUUUCCGAGUUUAUUAUUAUAAAAUGCGGGCGUUACAGU